rnacentral:rRNA from 1 species
AGCGAACGCUGGCGGCAGGCCUAACACAUGCAAGUCGAACGAACUCUUCGGAGUUAGUGGCGGACGGGGGAGUAACACGUGGGAACGUGCCUUUAGGUUCGGAAUAACUCAGGGAAACUUGUGGUAAUACCGAAUGUGCCCUUCGGGGGAAAGAUUUAUCGCCUUUAGAGCGGCCCGCGUCUGAUUAGCUAGUUGGUAGGGUAAUGGACUACCAAGGCUACGAUCAGUAGCUGGUCUGAGAGGAUGAUCAGCCACAUUGGGACUGAGACACGGCCCAAACUCCUACGGGAGGCAGCAGUGGGGAAUCUUGCGCAAUGGGUGAAAGCCUGACGCAGCCAUGCCGCGUGAAUGAUGAAGGUCUUAGGAUUGUAAAAUUCUUUCACCGGGGACGAUAAUGACGGUACCCGGAGAAGAAGCCCCGGCUAACUUCGUGCCAGCCGCCGCGGUAAUAC